rnacentral:rRNA from 1 species
UACGUAGGGUGCGAGCGUUAAUCGGAAUUACUGGGCGUAAAGCGUGCGCAGGCGGUUUUGUAAGUCAGAUGUGAAAUCCCUGGGCUCAACCCAGGAACUGCGUCCGAUACUGGAAGGCUUGAAUCCGGGAGAGGGAUGCGGAAUUCCAGGUGUAGCGGUGAAAUGCGUAGAUAUCUGGAGGAACACCGGUGGCGAAGGCGGCAUCCUGGACCGGUAUUGACGCUGAUGAGCGAAAGCCAGGGGAGCAAACGGG